rnacentral:rRNA from 1 species
AUGCAGCUCGGAAGCGGCACAGACGCCCUCUUCUGGGAGGACCGAUGGAUCGGCGGGCGGUCCGUCCGCGAGAUCGCCCCGCUCCUAUACGCGUGCAUCCCCAAACGCCGUCGCAAACUCCGGACUGUUGCGGAUGGGUUGGCGGACAAUCGUUGGGCGCGAGAUAUCCAGGGCACGGUUGGCAUCCACGAGAUCGGGCAAUGCCUCCAGCUUUGGCACAGGAUCGCGGGCACGACCCUCUCUGCCGAGCCCGAUUGCCUCAUCUGGAGAUGGAGCGCGAACGGCGUCUACUCGGCCAAGUCGGCCUACACGGCCACUUUCGCCGGCUCCACGACCUGCGCCGCCUGGAAGCUCACCUGGAAACACUGGGCACCGCCGCGCAUCCGCUUCUUCCACUGGCUCGCCCACCUCGACAGAUGUUGGACCGCCGACAGGCUUGCUCGCCGUGGGCUGCAACACCCCGCACGGUGCCCCCUAUGCGACCAGGCGCCUGAAACCAUGCACCAUCUCAUCCUCGCAUGCCCCUUGGCCUGGCAAACCUGGCACGAGACGCUAAGCUGGCUGCGGAUCCCGUGCACCCCACCUGACGACGAGCCUUCGCUUCUAGACUGGUGGCAAUCGGCGCGACACUCCACCCCUGCGCCCAUGCGCAAAGGCCUCGGUAUCGUGACCCUCCUCGUCCCAUGGAUGAUAUGGAAACACCGCAAUGACUGCAUCUUCAACGGAGCGCGCCCAUCUGUGAACACCAUCGUAGCGAAGAUCAAGGAAGAAGCUGCCCUUUGGGCAAAUGCGGACGCGCUAGGGCUCAAAGCCAUUACCCCCCAGACUUGGGAUGUCCACUAG